AUGGAUCGUUGUUUGAUCGCAGACAUCCACGACACUCUAAUCCCCGUGGCAACCCUCGAGUACGUGCAACUCUGGAGGCGUCUACAGGUGAUCACCCUCUCUAAUGGGCCGGACCAAUUGUCUUGGAAGUGGACCGCCCAUGGUACCUACACCGCAAGUUCCGCCUACCGUGCUCAGUUCAUCGGAGCUACUUCCUCACCCCACUGGCGCAUCAUUUGGAAAUCUUGGGCUCCUACCAAUGCCAAGAUCUUCUUAUGGUUGGCAUCCCUUGACCGUUGCUGGACUGCCGAACGUCGAGCAUGGCACAACUUACCUCAUGACCCCACCUGCAAGCUAUGUGAUCAACAUCACGAAACCCUACACCACCUUCUUGUGGGAUGCAUUGUUGGGGAACAUAGUAAUUUCAAAAAAUUCCUACAUACACGCAAGAUCAUGGUGAUGCAUAGCAACGAGAGGGUAGAGUAUGUCCACGUACCCUCGUAG
rnacentral:rRNA from 1 species